rnacentral:rRNA from 1 species
AUUGAACGCUGGCGGCAGGCCUAACACAUGCAAGUCGAGCGAGCGGCGGACGGGUGAGUAAUGUAUGGGGACUGCCCGAUCGAGGGGGAUAACUACUGGAAACGGUGGCUAAUACCGCAUACUAUCGGAUAACCCAUAUGGGAUUAGCUAGUAGGUGGGGUAAAGGAUCACCUAGGCGACGAUCGCUAGCUGGUCUGAGAGGAUGAUCAGCCACACUGGGACGGAGCCACGGCCCGGACUCAGACGGACGCAGCCGUGGGGAAUAUUACACAAUGGGCGCAAGCCUGAUGCAACGAUGCCGCGUGUAUGAAGAAGGCCUUAGGUUUUUAAAGUACUUUCAGCGGGGAGGCGUUACCCGCAGAAGAAGCACCGGCUAACUCCGUGCCAGCAGCCGCGGUAAUAC